rnacentral:rRNA from 1 species
AUUGAACGCUGGCGGCAGGCCUAACACAUGCAAGUCGAACGAGUGGCGGACGGGUGAGUAAUGUCUGGGCAACUGCCCGAUGGAGGGGGAUAACUACUGGAAACGGUAGCUAAUACCGCAUACCCUCGGAUGUGCCCAGCUGGGAUUAGCUAGUAGGUGGGGUAACGGCUCACCUGGGCGACGAUCCCUCGCUGGUCUGAGAGGUGGACCAGCAAAACUGGAACGGAGACAGGGCCCAGACUCCUACGGGAGGCAGCAGUGGGGAAUAUUGCACAAUGGGCGCAAGCCUGAUGCAGCAAUGCCGCGUGGAUGAAGAAGGCCUUCGGGUUGUAAAGUACUUUCAGCGAGGAGGCGUUACUCGCAGAAGAAGCACCGGCUAACUCCGUGCCAGCAGCCGCGGUAAUUC